GACGAACGCUGGCGGCGUGCUUAACACAUGCAAGUCGAACGGAAAGGCCCUGCUUUUGUGGGGUGCUCGAGUGGCGAACGGGUGAGUAACACGUGAGUAACCUGCCCUUGACUUUGGGAUAACUUCAGGAAACUGGGGCUAAUACCGGAUAGGAGCUCCUGCUGCAUGGUGGGGGUUGGAAAGUUUCGGCGGUUGGGGAUGGACUCGCGGCUUAUCAGCUUGUUGGUGGGGUAGUGGCUUACCAAGGCUUUGACGGGUAGCCGGCCUGAGAGGGUGACCGGCCACAUUGGGACUGAGAUACGGCCCAGACUCCUACGGGAGGCAGCAGUGGGGAAUAUUGCACAAUGGGCGGAAGCCUGAUGCAGCAACGCCGCGUGCGGGAUGACGGCCUUCGGGUUGUAAACCGCUUUCGCCUGUGACGAAGCGUGAGUGACGGUAAUGGGUAAAGAAGCACCGGCUAACUACGUGCCAGCAGCCGCGGUGAUACGUAGGGUGCGAGCGUUGUCCGGAUUUAUUGGGCGUAAAGGGCUCAUAGGUGGUUGAUCGCGUCGGAAGUGUAAUCUUGGGGCUUAACCCUGAGCGUGCUUUCGAUACGGGUUGACUUGAGGAAGGUAGGGGAGAAUGGAAUUCCUGGUGGAGCGGUGGAAUGCGCAGAUAUCAGGAGGAACACCAGUGGCGAAGGCGGUUCUCUGGGCCUUUCCUGACGCUGAGGAGCGAAAGCGUGGGGAGCGAACAGGCUUAGAUACCCUGGUAGCCCACGCUGUAAACGGUGGGUACUAGGUGUGGGGUCCAUUCCACGGGUUCCGUGCCGUAGCUAACGCUUUAAGUACCCCGCCUGGGGAGUACGGCCGCAAGGCUAAAACUCAAAGGAAUUGACGGGGCCCCGCACAAGCGGCGGAGCAUGCGGAUUAAUUCGAUGCAACGCGUAGAACCUUACCUGGGUUUGACAUGGAUCGGGAGUGCUCAGAGAUGGGUGUGCCUCUUUUGGGGUCGGUUCACAGGUGGUGCAUGGCUGUCGUCAGCUCGUGUCGUGAGAUGUUGGGUUAAGUCCCGCAACGAGCGCAACCCUUGUUCACUGUUGUCAGCACGUUAUGGUGGGGACUCAGUGGAGACCGCCGGGGUCAACUCGGAGGAAGGUGGGGAUGACGUCAAGUCAUCAUGCCCCUUAUGUCCAGGGCUUCACGCAUGCUACAAUGGCUGGUACAGAGAGUGGCGAGCCUGUGAGGGUGAGCGAAUCUCGGAAAGCCGGUCUCAGUUCGGAUUGGGGUCUGCAACUCGACCUCAUGAAGUCGGAGUCGCUAGUAAUCGCAGAUCAGCAACGCUGCGGUGAAUACGUUCCCGGGGCU
rnacentral:rRNA from 1 species